UGAUCCUCCAAUGGGAACAUAAAUGAACCAGAGAACAUUAAUUCUUGAUUCCACGUUUCCGUUUUUGCAAUAAAUCAUGAACCUGGACAUCCUUUUCAAUCCACAACAUUAGCUAUUUCCUAUAUCGAUUUCAGAAAGAAUAUCGACUUUCCAAACUUACAAUGUAAUAGAACUAUCACCUAAACCUUGGAUGUUUACGACACCAGCCACUUUCACACGCAAACGAAUUCUUUUCUCUCAUCUCUAAUAAAUCUGCAACAGCCGCAACUCACCGGAAACUCCGACGCUGCCGAAAAUUCAGAAAACCUCGCCAAGAAUCCCCACCGAAAAAGAAACCGAAACUCGUUUGGACCUCUCGGUCGACAACACACCGCGCCGAUACAAAACCCUCGUCGGAGAAACCUGCAAAUGGCUGGAACGUCGGAGACAUUCGCCGGAACCAAGUUUCACGUCGGAGUUCACGACGAGGGGUCGCUUAACCUCGUUCGCGGCGAUGAAGAGAAGCACCAGAUCUUUCGUGCACAAGGUUCUCCGAUCACGAAAACUAUUGUUUGCUGAUCAAUACGAGGAUGAAGAUAAGUGUCUCAGAAUUAUAUCUGUUUCUUUUUUCGAUACUCAAGUCAACCAGUUUAAUAUUUUUUCGAUCCAAUCAAUCUUCUUUGAUUCAAGUUUCUCUCCAAUCGAUUCACGAAUCUGGUAUGAUAUCUUCAUUCUUUGUAAAUCUGUGAAACUCUGACCCAUUUUGUUUGUUUUUUGUUUUUUUAAAAAGACUCAAAGGAUGGUGAUGGCGUUGCAAGAGUCCCCUAUGACAAGAUGUAUGCAGUUGUAAACAAGGACAAACCAUAUGAAGAGCCUGAAUAUUCUGUUGAUGAAGAAGAUUUCGUGAAGGUUCAUGGCAAUGAUUUUCAAAUUGAACAUGCAAAUUGAAUUUGCUAGCAUUUCAAUCUCCUUCACAACUCUGUUAAUUUGUACAUCUUUUUCGUUCUUUCCAUAAGUAAAUCAGACAGAAAUCGCUAGACCUCUGGCUUGAAAAGGACUAAAGUGAAGAGCCGUAGUGUUAAAUUCAUCGUCAUCAAUAGGGAACGUAGAGAAACUAAUAUGCUUUAAUUGAGAACUAAGGGGCAUGUCAAUUCGACUGAAGAUAUAUUCAUCUAUUAUUGUGCUACUCAACUGAUUGAGGGGGUGUUUGGAUUUGCAUAGAUUGAUAGCAACGGAAGGGUAAGAGAAAUUCUUUUUGAAGGUAAAGACGAGAAUUCCAUUAGAACUGGAUUUCCUAGCCAUUUGGGAGUUGGAUUCUUAAAUCUUGAAUAUGGAUACCUUUGUGAGAUCAUGAGUCACGAUGGGCCACACAGGUGUUCGACAUUUCUAAUGUCCUGUUUUCAAGAUGCAAUUUGUGGUCAAUCUUUCUUCAAGGUCUUGCUUAAGCCAUCAUGUUGUGAUAUGUUGCAGCUGAAUGAUUUUGUCGAUAUCUAUCUUCUUAGCAAAGUUGCUAAAGUCUGAGCCACACUAUUUUUUGGUACACGUUCUUGGAAGUUUGAAAAUGAAGGAGUGUAAUAGAUGUCUGCAAAUGAUGUUAAUCAAAUGGAUGAAGAUAAUGUAACCUCCUUCACUUCCACUGUUAAGACCCGUGUAGUGAGGUGGCAGUCUCGGAGGAUGGUAGAGAGAAGUUACCAUCAUCUUUGACAUACAAAUCUCUGAUGCAUUUUCACAUGUGGAUAUUAGCGUUUCACAAGCCAAAGCCAGGCUUAAUCGCCAUAUUGAGCAUAUUCUUGGAUGCAUUAAAUCGCUGCCUUCUACCAAGUUAAAUGAGCCUGGGACUUCCGUUGCUCCACAACUUGAGUCCUUAGUCCAAAGAAUAUAUGCUGAACCAGAUCAAUAGCGUAUUCGAUAGCUUAUUUCAGUACACAUGCACAAAGACCGAGUGAACAUAUAAGAGAACCACCAUUACUAUGCAAAUGAUUUUAGGUUUCUGAGAUGGUGGAUUCAGUUUCUCAAAAGGAGUAUCCGGAAGCUCGAUUUUAGCCCGAAUGGGGUGUGUACAAUUGUUCGAGUUAUCGAUUUUAAGAACUCGCAUGGUGUCACACCCUGGCUUUUGCGGAAGCGUGGGUUUAUUUGGUGUGACUUCUUAAUACCAUAGCAACAAUCACAACAAUGCUAUAUGAUAAAAACGUAAGAUGUUCAUCCAUUAAAGUUGUUUAGAAAAUGCAUAACAUAUUGUUCUUUAAAAACAUCAAC